GGUUAAGCAAAGAAGAGCAUAGGGCGGAUGCCUUAGGCACUGGGAGCCGAAGAAGGACGUGACAAGCUGCGAAAAGCCACGCCUAGUCGCAAAUAGACGCUUUAAGACGUGGAUAUCCGAAUGGGGCAACCCGCUUGAGAAAACCUCAAGCAUCACUUACCCAAUCCAUAAGUAAGUGAAGGAAAAGCCUGUGAACUGAAACAUCUAAGUAACAGGACGAAAAGAAAGAAACAUCGAUUCCCUAAGUAGCGGCGAGCGAAAAGGGAAAAGCCCAAACGUGCGGAAGAUUUUAGAGACAUAGACGAAUUGUCCUGGGAAGGCAAACCGAAGACGGUGAAAGUCCGGUAGACGAAAUGUCGAAAAAAUUGGCACAAGAGAGUACCACGGGACACGAGAAACCCCGUGGGAAGAAGGGAGGACCUCCUCCCAAGGCUAAAUACUACCCAGUGACCGAUAGAGAACAAGUACCGUGAGGGAAAGGUGAAAAGAACCCCGGAAGGGGAGUGAAAUAGAACCUGAAACCCUAUGCUUACAAGCAGUGGAAGCUCGUUAACGAGUAACCACGUACUUUUUGUAGAACGGGCCAGCGAGUUAUGGUGUCAGGCAAGGUUAAGCGCUAAAGGCGUGGAGCCUGAGGGAAACCAAGUCUUAAAAGGGCGAAAAGUCUGCUGCCAUAGACCCGAAACCGGGUGAUCUAUCCAUGGGCAGAGUGAAGUUUCGGUAAAACGAAAUGGAGGCUCGAACCGGGUAUGGUUUAAAACAUAUCGGAUGACCUGUGGAUAGGGGUGAAAAGCCAAUCGAACCCGGAUAUAGCUGGUUCUCCUCGAAAUAGCUUUAGGGCUAGCCUUUGGGAAAGAGUCUACGGGAGGUAGAGCACUGAAUGGUCGCGGGGCACGUGGUGUUACCAAGAUCUAUCAAACUCCGAAUACCCGCAAGAUACCCCAAGGAGUCAGACUAAGUGGGAUAAGCUUCUUAGUCGAAAGGGAAAGAGCCCAGCCCAUCAGCUAAGGUCCCCAAAUCCAAAUUAAGUGGCAAAGGAUGUAAUGCUACUCAGACAACCAGGAUGUUGGCUUAGAAGCAGCCAUACAUUGAAAGAGUGCGUAAUAGCUCACUGGUCAAGUGGAAUUGCGCCGAAGAUUUCCGGGGCUAAAAUUUGGUACCGAAGCUAUGGAUACCUGACGGUAUGGUAGAGGAGCAUCGUGUGAAAGGAAGAAGCAGCAUCGAAAGGAGCUGUGGACGAGACACGAGAGAGAAUGCUGGCAUGAGUAACGAGAAGGCGAGUGAGAAUCUCGCCCGUCGAAAGUCUAAGGUUUCCUGAGCAAGGCUCGUCCUCUCAGGGUAAGUCGGGACCUAAGGCGAGGCCGAAAGGCGUAGUCGAUGGAAGACAGGUUGAAAUUCCUGUACUAUCAAAAGCGAUAGAAGAGAAGUGGUGACGCAGGAGGAUAGGUUAAGCGCACGGAUGGAAGAGUGCGUUCAAGCAGGUAGAUAGACCUUGUAGGCAAAUCCGCAAGGUUAAUAUCGAGACGUGAUGAGGAUCGAAAAACAAGUAGAGAAGUAAUUGACUCCACACUGCCAAGAAAAGCCACUAUCAAGCGAAUGAUACCCGUACCGCAAACCGACACAGGUAGACAAGAAGAGAAUUCUAAGACGCGCGGAAGAACCUCUGUUAAGGAACUCGGCAAAAUGACCCCGUAAGUUCGCGAGAAGGGGUACCAUAAUUUGUGAAGAUAAAACUAUUGGAGCAGAAGAUGGUCGCAGCGAAACGGCCCAAGCGACUGUUUACCAAAAACACAAGUAUCUGCUAAAUCGAAAGAUGACGUAUAGGUGCUGACACCUGCCCGGUGCUGGAAGGUUAAGGGGAAAAGUAAGGGUUAAACCGAAGCUUAGAACUUAAGCCCCAGUAAACGGCGGCCGUAACUAUAACGGUCCUAAGGUAGCGAAAUUCCUUGUCGGGUAAGUUCCGACCCGCACGAAAGGUGUAACGAUUUGGGCACUGUCUCAACAGAGGAUCCGGUGAAAUUGUAGUAUGCGUGAAGAUGCGCAUUACCCACGACAGGACGGAAAGACCCCGUGGAGCUUUACUGCAGGCUGAUAUUGGAUUUCGGCAUAGGAUGUACAGGAUAGGUGGGAGACGAAGAAACCAGGGCGUCAGCUUUGGUGGAGUCGACCUUUGGAUACCACCCUUUCUGUGCUGGAAUUCUAACCUGGUACCGUAAGCCGGUACAGGGACACUGUCAGUUGGGCAGUUUGACUGGGGCGGUCGCCUCCUAAAAAGUAACGGAGGCGUUCAAAGGUUCCCUCAGAAUGGUUAGAAAUCAUUCGAAGAGUGCAAAGGCAAAAGGGAGCUUGACUGCGAGACCGACAAGUCGAGCAGGAACGAAAGUUGGACUUAGUGAUCCGGUGGUACCGAGAGGAAGGGCCAUCGCUCAACGGAUAAAAGCUACCCCGGGGAUAACAGGCUGAUACCGCCCAAGAGUCCACAUCGACGGCGGUGUUUGGCACCUCGAUGUCGGCUCGUCUCAUCCUGGGGCUGGAGUAGGUCCCAAGGGUUGGGCUGUUCGCCCAUUAAAGAGGUACGCGAGCUGGGUUCAGAACGUCGUGAGACAGUUCGGUCCCUAUCCGUCGUGGGCGUAAGAAAUUUGAGAGGAGCUGUCCUUAGUACGAGAGGACCGGGAUGGACAGACCGCUGGUGAAAAAGUUGUUCUGCCAAGGGCAAGGCUUUAAAGCUAAGUCUGGAAGGGAUAAGUGCUGAAGGCAUCUAAGCACGAAGCCCCCCUCAAGAUGAGAUUUCUUUGAAGACUCCAUGAAGAAAACAUGGUUGAUAGGUUCCAUGUGGAAGUGUAGUAAUACAUGAAGCUGAGGAAUACUAAUUGGUCGUAAGCUUGACCGG
rfam:Peptostreptococcaceae bacterium oral taxon 113 str. W5053 genomic scaffold Scaffold324, whole genome shotgun sequence.